rnacentral:snoRNA from 1 species
AAAUUUUUACAUUGCUGUAGUCUGUUUUAAAUGUUUUUAUUUUAAAAAUUAAGUAUGCAGAGUACCAAAAACUAUGAGGAGGAGGCGCAGCAUUCUCUCUUGAGCGUGGAGCCAGCUCUUGGUGUUGCUUCGCUGCAACUGCCAUUUGUCAUUGAUGAUCGUGCUUUUCUCCCUUUUUGGGUAAGUAAGAGGGAGAGGAUGCAGUCUGAGUGGU